rnacentral:rRNA from 1 species
AUUGAACGCUGGCGGCAGGCCUAACACAUGCAAGUCGAGCGGUAGCACAGAGAGCUUGCUCUCGGGUGACGAGCGGCGGACGGGUGAGUAAUGUCUGGGAAACUGCCUGAUGGAGGGGGAUAACUACUGGAAACGGUAGCUAAUACCGCAUAACGUCGCAAGACCAAAGUGGGGGACCUUCGGGCCUCAUGCCAUCAGAUGUGCCCAGAUGGGAUUAGCUAGUAGGUGGGGUAAUGGCUCACCUAGGCGACGAUCCCUAGCUGGUCUGAGAGGAUGACCAGCCACACUGGAACUGAGACACGGUCCAGACUCCUACGGGAGGCAGCAGUGGGGAAUAUUGCACAAUGGGCGCAAGCCUGAUGCAGCCAUGCCGCGUGUGUGAAGAAGGCCUUCGGGUUGUAAAGCACUUUCAGCGGGGAGGAAGGCGAUAAGGUUAAUAACCUCAUCGAUUGACGUUACCCGCAGAAGAAGCACCGGCUAACUCCGUGCCAGCAGCCGCGGUAAUACGGAGGGUGCAAGCGUUAAUCGGAAUUACUGGGCGUAAAGCGCACGCAGGCGGUCUGUCAAGUCGGAUGUGAAAUCCCCGGGCUCAACCUGGGAACUGCAUUCGAAACUGGCAGGCUAGAGUCUUGUAGAGGGGGGUAGAAUUCCAGGUGUAGCGGUGAAAUGCGUAGAGAUCUGGAGGAAUACCGGUGGCGAAGGCGGCCCCCUGGACAAAGACUGACGCUCAGGUGCGAAAGCGUGGGGAGCAAACAGGAUUAGAUACCCUGGUAGUCCACGCCGUAAACGAUGUCGAUUUGGAGGUUGUGCCCUUGAGGCGUGGCUUCCGGAGCUAACGCGUUAAAUCGACCGCCUGGGGAGUACGGCCGCAAGGUUAAACUCAAAUGAAUUGACGGGGGCCCGCACAAGCGGUGGAGCAUGUGGUUUAAUUCGAUGCAACGCGAAGAACCUUACCUGGUCAUGACAUCCACAGAACUUUCCAGAGAUGGAUUGGUGCCUUCGGGAACUGUGAGACAGGUGCUGCAUGGCUGUCGUCAGCUCGUGUUGUGAAAUGUUGGGUUAAGUCCCGCAACGAGCGCAACCCUUAUCCUUUGUUGCCAGCGGUCCGGCCGGGAACUCAAAGGAGACUGCCAGUGAUAAACUGGGGGAAGGUGGGGAUGACGUCAAGUCAUCAUGGCCCUUACGACCAGGGCUACACACGUGCUACAAUGGCAUAUACAAAGAGAAGCGACCUCGCGAGAGCAAGCGGACCUCAUAAAGUAUGUCGUAGUCCGGAUUGGAGUCCGCAACUCGACUCCAUGAAGUCGGAAUCGCUAGUAAUCGUAGAUCAGAAUGCUACGGUGAAUACGUUCCCGGGCCU